rnacentral:sRNA from 1 species
AGCAACUACUGGACAUAUUGAGACUUAC